GUGAAUGUAGCUCAAUUGGAAGAGCACCGGGUUGUGUCCCCGGAGGUUGAGGGUUCGAGCCCCUUCAUUCACC
rnacentral:tRNA from 1 species